rnacentral:rRNA from 1 species
UUGUGCGGGCUAUUUUUUCCUUAAUUUUUUUCAGGCUACGAUUAUACUUAGUUUACUGUUUUUCAGAUCACUACUAUUAAUCUUUUUUCUUACUUGUUGCGGGCUGCGAUAUAUAAUCAUAAUGAAUUAAUAAUGAACUAAUUUCUCGGUAGCUAUUUCUUUCUUUCUUUUUUCUCUUUCUUGACCUGUACGGGCUGCGAGAAACGGAGCACGGAGGGAGAACGUGGAGUGUGUAGUGGUUUAGAAUAGGAAGGUGACAGAGGGGUGGCGAGAACCUUUUCGUUUUCUUUUUAUUUUGCGAUCGUUUUCCGGCCGCGGCCGCGCCUCGCGGUGGUGGAUGGUGUGUUGUCGGUCGGCGACGGCAGGAGCCACGAGGGCCGCCAACCGCUUCCGCUGGGGCCCGCACGACGUCGACGACGAGGCCUCCUUGCGAAUGGACCUCGUCCUUGAGCUGGAAGCGAAGGCGGAGAAGGCGAGGUCCCUUAGGGGAGGGCUGCCCGCGCGGCUCAAGGAAGCGCGGUUGCGGAGGCGGUAGCCACGGCAGCAACCGUUGCGGCUACGGCGUAGCUACGCGGCGGCAGGAAGAGACACCCCUGGCUGGCGCAACUGGAGGGUUCACGGCCCUCGUGGCCUAGGCGCAGUGGUUGUGGGGGUUGAAGGAGUGGCUGCUGCAGCGGCCGGAGCGGUAGAGGCACGGUUCCUUCUGGUGCGUCCGACUGGCGAUGGCCGCGCGGCCGAACACCUUCCGUUCUCCCUGAUGCGUCAGUGAUGCGCCCACUUCCUCCCCGCCGGCGGGUGAGCUGCCACGACUAGUCCCGCUGCUCCCUCGGACCGUCCCUCCGCAGCUACGUCCCGUCCCGCCGCUGCUAGGCUACGUCCCUAGUUCCAGCGGCACGUCCCUCCGCAGCUACGUCACGUCCCGACCGCUACUUUCCGUCCCUCUCCCCGCUCCCUGUGUUAAUCCAACUCAAAGGAAAAAACGCUCAACCAAUCUACCAAUCUAAUUGCACUAAACUCCCCGACGUCUCCACCCUGCCCCUCAAAGUAUAAAAGUAGACCACCUCAUGCCAGUCAGAUACAUUUGACGAUUCGCGUGUGGUCUAGAGCUUAUUUAAUUACUACCGACAAUCUACCCCAACACGCCCGAAGUAGGACACCACCACUAAACCCACUGCACCGACACCUGCAAAACGCCUACGUACAUUCUUUCAAAAACAAACUAACAAAUUAUCAUCAUUAAUACU